UACAGAGGGUGCGAGCGUUGUUCGGAAUUAUUGGGCGUAAAGGGCGCGUAGGCGGCGCCACAAGUCACCUGUGAAAACUCUGGGCUCAACCCAGAGCCUGCAGGCGAAACUGUGGUGCUGGAGUAUGGGAGAGGUGCAUGGAAUUCCCGGUGUAGUGGUGGAAUGCGUAGAUAUCGGGAGGAACACCAGUGGCGAAGGCGGUUGCCUGGGGCUUUGCUGACGCUGAUGCGCGAAAGCGUGGGGAGCGAUCCGG
rnacentral:rRNA from 1 species